GACGAACGCUGGCGGCGUGCUUAACACAUGCAAGUCGAACGGAAAGGCCCUGCUUUUGUGGGGUGCUCGAGUGGCGAACGGGUGAGUAACGCGUGAGUAACCUGCCCUUGACUUUGGGAUAACUUCAGGAAACUGGGGCUAAUACCGGAUAGGAGCUCCUGCUGCAUGGUGGGGGUUGGAAAGUUUCGGCGGUUGGGGAUGGACUCGCGGCUUAUCAGCUUGUUGGUGGGGUAGUGGCUUACCAAGGCUUUGACGGGUAGCCGGCCUGAGAGGGUGACCGGCCACAUUGGGACUGAGAUACGGCCCAGACUCCUACGGGAGGCAGCAGUGGGGAAUAUUGCACAAUGGGCGGAAGCCUGAUGCAGCAACGCCGCGUGCGGGAUGACGGCCUUUGGGUUGUAAACCGCUUUCGCCUGUGACGAAGCGUGAGUGACGGUAAUGGGUAAAGAAGCACCGGCUAACUACGUG
rnacentral:rRNA from 1 species